UACAGAGGUCUCAAACGUUGUUCGGAAUUACUGGGCGUAAAGCGCGUGUAGGCGGUCUCGCAAGUCGGAUGUGAAAGCCCAGGGCUCAACCCUGGAAGUGCACUCGAUACUGCGAGGCUAGAGUCCCGGAGAGGAUGGUGGAACUCUCGGUGUAGAGGUGAAAUUCGUAGAUAUCGAGAAGAACACCGGUGGCGAAGGCGGCCAUCUGGACGGUGACUGACGCUGAGACGCGAAAGCGUGGGGAGCAAACAGG
rnacentral:rRNA from 1 species